rnacentral:rRNA from 1 species
GAUGAACGCUGGCGGCGUGCCUAAUACAUGCAAGUCGAGCGGAAGGUUUAGCAAUAGACCUUUAGCGGCGAACGGGUGAGUAACGCGUUGGUGACCUGCCUCGAAGCUUGGGGAUAACAGUUCGAAAGGACUGCUAAUACCGGAUGUGUUCAUGAGGAUUAGAUGCCUUAUGAGUAAAGGAGAAAUUCACUUCGAGAGGGGCCUGCGUCCCAUCAGCUAGUUGGUAGGGUAAAGGCCUACCAAGGCAAUGACGGGUAGGGGACCUGAGAGGGUGGCCCCCCACAAUGGAACUGAAACACGGUCCAUACACCUACGGGUGGCAG